AGUAUUGCCAGGUUCCUACAAUUGUCUAAAACCUUGAUCUGGCUUGCAAGCCAGAUCUUCAGGCUUCCAUUUUUGCAGCCACACUGAACCACACAUCUGGUUUCCAUAGUGAUAGUGUGUAAUUUCUGAUUAUCAGAUUAUGCCCAGUUUUCAGUUUUCAAAACAGUUUUCAAAACUCUGGUGAUUGUGAGAUGUAAAGAGGUGCUAUGGUGGUCAUGCAAGUAAUACGUAAUAUGAAUCAAUACACAGAACUCUAUCGGAUUCACUUUGUGUGUGUUAGUGCUCUGAAAAUAGCAAUAUUAAACUGUCCCCAGAAUAACCCUGUAGGCUUCAACUCAGUUUUAAGACAAGUACUACUUCCUAUGCCAGGUACUUAACUUAUGGUUAAACACAGACUGCAUUCAAAGUGACCUGAAAAACAGGUCAUGAUCUUUGAGAGUGGGCUUCCUUUUUGGUUUGGUAGUAGUGAGAGGAAAUGGACGGUGGGAGUAGAUAUUUAUUGUUUAGGUUUUUUUUGUUGUUGUUGUUGGUUUUUUUUUUUUUUGUUUUUUUGUUUUUGCAUUUUUAUGGAUGCCCUACUGUGUGUAGUUGUCAUAGUAGGUGGAAGAUGAUAAAUAUGUUUUAUCUGCUACUAAUGUGAAAGUAACUUAAAUAGCAAAACCCAGCUUUUCCUGUCCCUCCAUUUCUCUCAGAAAUGCAGUUUGGACUUUCCUUCUGGAAAUGAUGAGAUCGCAUGGAGGUUUUCUAGAUGUUAGGUAGACCCAAAUAAAAGCUCUCAGAGUCCUCUUUGGGUAAAUAUAAGACCUCUUGUAGCUACAACCUUUUAGAGCAUGUUUCAUCUGCAUUUUUACUACUUUGAACUGAAUGGUAGUCUUUUUUAGAAGACUGAUGUCAGCCUGCCAGGUACUGUAAUUCAUUCUAUCCUAUUAUAUUAUAUAUCAAGUAGGACAGUGAAAAAUGUUUCCUUGCAGACUUGUAGUCCAGUUUCAGUUUCUUCUAUUUUUAUCCUUAAUAACCACUGCAAAUCAGUGUAAGGGUUUUUCUGGUAAUUACAGCACUUUGUUAAAAGUUUGCAAUUUUGUCAGCCAUUAAUAAUACCUUUCUGUGAAGAAACCUUACUAAGUUAACCAUUACUGGCUGAGUGGGAUGUGAAUGGAAUGUUAGAAAUGUUGUGUGAAUUGAAGUUCUGUAUUCAUUAUAGAUAUAGCCCUUAUUUAAAACAGUGAAGUCCAUAUUCAGACUAGGAAUGAAAGUAAGGUAUUUCUCAGUUUGUGCAAAAGUGGAGCUUUACUUUGUUUAUUUGAAAAGCAGGAAAAAUUAUAGCAAUCUGUCAUUUUACCUUAAAUGGACAAGCCUGGGCAUCACAAGUACUUCCAGGCUUCCCUGGGAUAUACCAAGACAUGGAGUUCAAUUUUGCUUUUCUGUGGUUGUGAGUAUAGAUGCUGGAAUUGGGGUUUGACGGUGUGAUGGCUGCUGACAAGAAGCCAGAACUCCCAUUCCUGAGGGACUUGAGACUGAGGACCACGUUUCAUCUCCCUUCAUGCCGUGUUCUGUCUCCUCUGUCCAAGUUGACUAAGGAUGUUCUUGGUUGUUUGGUUUCAGUUGGUGCUCUGAAGCUGAAUCUCAGUGCCCUUUACUCGCAGUUGUCAAAUUUUGAUAAAACGUGCCAUUUUCUUUGGUAAGAGAAAGCAGGUCUAAUGUCUGCCAGAACACAAUUUAUAUGCCGAAUUAUUGGCUCCAUUAAACUUUUUAAAAACUUUAGCACUGGUUACUUUUUUCCAUUGCAUUCAAUAUGUAGCACCUCCUCACCUCAUGAGUAGCGCUUCCUUCCCUACUGCCGCUCCUGUCCCUUCCUCCCUGGCCUGCCAGAGUAGAAGAACUGAGACCGGCCCAUCAGUACAAAGGGAGGUGGUUUUUAAUCUUAGCGUGAGUUAGUCUGAUGAAGUUCAGAAUCUUUUGGAAGUUUUUAUUAGUUAAGAUGCAGAACAUCAAAGAUGACCACAUACUAGUGUAGUAUUAGGCACUGACUUUGACUUUUUUACUUUCUUUUUUUUUUUUUGGACAGGUCUUUUUGUGUAGUUCAUGCUGACUUCUAGCAUUCGAUCCUCCUGUUUCAGUUGCCUAAGUGCUAUGGUUUACUGGCAUGGUGCUUGCUUGGCCUUUUCAGCCGAUCAAGAACAGAAUGGGCUGCUCUUGAAGCUAAGCACUUGAGUAUGGGAGAACAGAGUCUUUGUCAUGAGCCAGAGUCUGAUUCUUAACACAGUGUAUCUCCUUAGUUCUGUCAUUAACCUGACGGGGGUAGGCCAGGCUGAGUUCUCCACUGCAGUGUCCUGAACGUAGCUGAGAGGCUCACGAACUUUUAUUACAAUUUUUAAUAUCUUUUACAGCAAAUUUCGAGUAUCAUCAAUGUAGUUUACCUCAUUGAAGUAAUGACAUACACCUUAAACCAUAAUACAAAUAAAUCAUUGAAAAUGCC
rnacentral:lncRNA from 1 species